rnacentral:tRNA from 1 species
GGGGGUGUAGCUCAGCGGCAGAGCACCGGCCUUUUAAGCCGUAGGUCCUGGGUUCGAUUCCCAGCACCCUCA